rnacentral:lncRNA from 1 species
CAUUCCCUUUUCCUUAAAUUAUUAACUUUCCUUAAAUGGCUUGUUAGUUAAUCAUGCUAUCUUGAAAAGAAAUUAAAAAUGUUAAAAACAGUAAGCCCCACGUGAAGUAUGCUCGUGGCAUAAAACCCAUAAGUACAUUCACUGUGGUGGCGUAAAACUAAAAAUAUUCCUAUCCUAUAAAAAUGAAAAUAUAAAAAUAAAUUUAUGAUCCUACCAUAGAGAGUAAUAUUUAUUAGAGGAAGCUCAGCAUGAUAAAGGCAAAAAGAUUUUAUGCUAACACUUAACCAGUUCCACAAAGCUUUGUUGUCUAUUUGAGCUCCACAGAAUUCAAGGAUCAAAGAAGACUAAGAGACGGAGGACAUCCUAAUCGCUGUCAGGGUGCUGCCGACAUUCAAAUACACCUCCGCCACCUACUAGCUACAUCACAAGAAAUUACGUCAAAAUCCAGCUUUGGGGAGAGCACCCCCAUUUAUCCAGCUAAGUGUUUCUACUCGUGUUUAUACUUUACUCAAAUAAUAAAAAGAUGCAUAAUCAUAAAAACCCAAAUAAAGAUUUUAUGCUUAUAUAUAUAUUUAUGCUUAGUUUGCUAAAUAAAUAAAUAAAUAAAGUUUGCUAUGAACCCUCAUGAUAAGCUCUCACAUGGAAAUGAUGAAUAGUUGCUCUGCCAUGACUAGUUCUGAAAAUUGAAUUUUCUCUCAAGUUUAGGCAUGACUGCUAUGAAUUAAGAUUUGCUCUAAACCUGAACUUGUGGGAAGAGUACUUGAUCUAAAGUCUAAGUCGUUAACGGAUAUGAUAUGGGAAGGUUAAGCUGCUGUUUAUCUGUUCGUAGAGAUGCUAGAAUUCUGGAGAAUUUUAUCUUUGAAAAUUUUUAAAAUGUUGCAUGAUGAGUUCCUGUAUGAUGAGAGUUUAAAAUCCUACCACAGCCACAUAUACAUGCUUAUUAGACUAUGAACCGUACAUUUACUUUUUACUGCUUAUGAGCAUUGAGUGUGGUCAAGUUAUGUAGACCCUUAGGAACAUGUCAUGCGGUUAAAAUCAAGAUUCACAUGCACGUUCACUCAUACAUGCUGCUUUUACUCCGGAAGUACGCAUCCACAUACAUCCACUCCUUUCCAUCUCCAGAUUCACCCAAAAUUAUUCUACUCCUAUCAAGGAGAGAAUAGCCAAAAACAUUAUCCUAUCCCUGUUAUUCCCCAUGAAAUAAAUGCUCGAGAUAUUUUGGUUACUACCACUUGCUACAUUAUUAGAGGAGGGUGAGUGCUCUGAAAAAAAGGAAAAAAAUAUGAGGAAAUAAAAAGGGGCAAGUGCCCGGAACCUCGAAGAAAAUAAAAAGUGAGACGAGAGGUAAAAAUGGACAAGUGUUCGACAGUAGAAUUAGGGGUACAAGAUACCCACCUGAGAGAAAAUAAAAAGAAAAUAGAGAGCACCUCAUUUUCCUCAAAAAGCUUCAAAGUCCAAGAAAGGUAUGUAUCCCCUCAAAAGAGCAAACGUAGAAUUAGACUUUCACCAUUGUUUUCACCAUCAUCACCAUACACCAUUCAUUCCAUACAUGCACAUCUUGAUUUGACUUAUUGACUUGUUUCUCUAGAUCCAUGGUUUGACUAUGCAAUAAAUGUCUUGUAAGUAUGUAUUAUCUGUCUCCCACCUAUGAGCUCCAGAUAUCAAAACCUUAUUAGAGUAGGGUGAGAGAGAAGGCAAUAUCACUAUGCCUCAUACCAAAAAUACCACAUACUUUGAGAGAAGGCAUAUUUGCAUUUGACAAAGUGUUGGGAAGGUGUAGUUGAAAAUCCACAAUUCUCAC